UGUUGUGACGUUUCAAAUAAACUUCCUCAAGAGUAGGUAAUACAUAUUCAUGACACACGCCGUCGCUCAGGGGCGCGUGACAUGACUCACUUAUCUACAAUAUUUCAGUAAACUAACAUAAUUUUCCCAUAUUUUUACUUUUUCAAGCGCUGUAUAAAUGUUUGUAUAGUGUCAACGGGCUGGCUGGAAGCACAUGUGGAUUUUACAUCAAACUGAGUUGUUGUCCGGAUUGGAGAGGCAGUUGUGUUCGCUGGCCUGGAUGCUGCUCUGAUGCUCCUGUUGUUUUGUGCGCGAGCGUCUGGACUUGACGGGUAAAACCAGUACCAGCAAAAAACAGAUCAGGUGAAUGCAGCAGUACCACGAUCUGAAGAUACAGAGAGGAAAACAGUAAGCAGAUUGUUUAUGGAAAAAAAGAGUCAUAUACGGGUGUAGCGAGGAAGGCGUGGCGAGAGCCGUCAGACAAAGGGGCAGGGCCGGUGGCGUGAGUGAUAAUGGCUAUCAGCUGUGCGCACACCGGCUCCGCAUUUCUG